UCCGGUGUGAUCCAAGGCAGGAUGCGCGGUUGUUACCCGCGUCAUGCUGGUUCGAGCCCAGCCGCCGGAG
rnacentral:tRNA from 1 species